UACGGGGGGAGCAAGCGUUGUUCGGAUUUACUGGGCGUAAAGGGCGCGUAGGCGGCCACUGCAAGUCGGUUGUGAAAUCUCCGGGCUUAACCCGGAAAGGUCAAUCGAUACUGCAGGGCUAGAGUGCAGAAGGGGCAACUGGAAUUCUCGGUGUAGCGGUGAAAUGCGUAGAUAUUGGGAAGAACACCGGUGGCGAAGGCGGCGCUCUGGACCGAGACUGACGCUGAGGCGCGAAAGCGUGGGGAGCAAACAGG
rnacentral:rRNA from 1 species